rnacentral:rRNA from 1 species
UUGCAUAUCCAAAUAAGCGGAGGAAAAGAAACCAACAGGGAUUGCCUCAGUAACGGCGAGUGAAGCGGCAAAAGCUCAAAUUUGAAAUCUGGCUCUUUCAGGGUCCGAGUUGUAAUUUGUAGAAGAUGUUUCGGGUGUGGUCCCAGUCUAAGUUCCCUGGAACUGGACAUCACAGAGGGUGAGAAUCCCGUAUGUGACUGGGUACCUACGUCCAUGUGAAACUCUUUCGACGAGUCGAGUUGUUUGGGAAUGCAGCUCAAAAUGGGUGGUAAAUUUCAUCUAAAGCUAAAUAUUGGCCAGAGACCGAUAGCGCACAAGUAGAGUGAUCGAAAGAUGAAAAGCACUUUGGAAAGAGAGUUAAACAGUACGUGAAAUUGUUGAAAGGGAAGGGCAUGCAAUCAGACUUGCGCCUAGUUGAUCAUCCGGGCUUUUGCCCGGUGCACUCGAUUAGGCUCAGGCCAGCAUCAGUUUAGAGGGUUGGAUAAAGGCCUUGGGAAUGUGGCCCCUCUCGGGGGGUGUUAUAGCCCAAGGUGCAAUGCAGCCACUCUGGACUGAGGACCGCGCUUCGGCUAGGAUGCUGGCGUAAUGGUUGUAUGCCGCCCGUCUUA